rnacentral:tRNA from 1 species
GCUGUGAUGGCGGAGUGGUUAAGGCGUUGGACUUGAAACCAAUGGGGUUUCCCUUGUAGGUUUAAACCCUACUCACAGCG